GACAGCAGCAGCCGCGGGAAUACGUAGGUGGCAAGCGUUGUCCGGAAUUAUUGGGCGUAAAGGGCUCGCAGGCGGUUUCUUAAGUCUGAUGUGAAAGCCCCCGGCUCAACCGGGGAGGGUCAUUGGAAACUGGGAAACUUGAGUGCAGAAGAGGAGAGUGGAAUUCCACGUGUAGCGGUGAAAUGCGUAGAGAUGUGGAGGAACACCAGUGGCGAAGGCGACUCUCUGGUCUGUAACUGACGCUGAGGAGCGAAAGCGUGGGGAGCGAACAGGAUUAGAUACCCGGGUAGUCCCUGUCUCUUAUAA
rnacentral:rRNA from 1 species